rnacentral:hammerhead_ribozyme from 1 species
GCACUACUGAGGAGUCCCAUAAUAGAACGAAACGGCCUUUUAGUGC